AGAGUUUGAUCCUGGCUCAGAUUGAACGCUGGCGGCAGGCCUAACACAUGCAAGUCGAGCGCGAAAGCACUUCGGUGUGAGUAGAGCGGCGGACGGGUGAGUAAUGCUUGGGAAUCUACCUAGUAGUGGGGGACAACGUGUGGAAACGCACGCUAAUACCGCAUACGUCCUACGGGAGAAAGCAGGGGACCUUCGGGCCUUGCGCUAUCAGAUGAGCCCAAGUCGGAUUAGCUAGUUGGUGGGGUAAUGGCUCACCAAGGCUACGAUCCGUAGCUGGUCUGAGAGGAUGAUCAGCCACACUGGGACUGAGACACGGCCCAGACUCCUACGGGAGGCAGCAGUGGGGAAUAUUGCACAAUGGGCGAAAGCCUGAUGCAGCCAUGCCGCGUGUGUGAAGAAGGCUCUAGGGUUGUAAAGCACUUUCAGUAGGGAGGAAAAGCAUAUAGUUAAUAACUGUGUGCCGUGACGUUACCUACAGAAGAAGCACCGGCAAACUCCGUGCCAGCAGCCGCGGUAAUACGGAGGGUGCGAGCGUUAAUCGGAAUUACUGGGCGUAAAGCGCACGUAGGUGGUUUGAUAAGCUAGCUGUGAAAGCCCCGGGCUCAACCUGGGAACUGCAGUUAGAACUGUCUGACUAGAGUAUAGUAGAGGGUGGCGGAAUUUCCUGUGUAGCGGUGAAAUGCGUAGAUAUAGGAAGGAACAUCAGUGGCGAAGGCGGCCACCUGGACUAAUACUGACACUGAGGUGCGAAAGCGUGGGGGAGCAAACAGGAUUAGAUACCCUGGUAGUCCACGCCGUAAACGAUGUCUACUAGCCGUUGGAAGACUUGAUCUUUUAGUGGCGCAACUAACGCGAUA
rnacentral:rRNA from 1 species